AAUGAACGCUGGCGGCGUGCUUUACACAUGCAAGUUGAGCGAGGCCGGGUAGCAAUACCCGAGUCGAGCGGCGAACGGGUGAGUAACGCGUGGAUAACCUGCCCAGAAGUGGGGGACAACCCGGGGAAACUACGGGCUAAUACCGCAUAACACCGAAAGGUCAAAGGGGCCGCAAGGUCUCGCUACUGGAGGGGUCCGCGUUCGAUUAGCUAGUUGGUAGGGUAAUGGCCUACCAAGGCGACGAUCGAUAGCCGGCCUGAGAGGGUGAUCGGCCACACUGGAACUGAGACACGGUCCAGACUCCUACGGGAGGCAGCAGUGGGGAAUUUUGUCGCAAUGGGCUAACGCCUGACGCAGCAACGCCGCGUGGAGGAUGAAGGUCUUUGGAUUGUAAACUCCUGUCAGCAGGGAAAAGCAACUCGGCCUCAUACGCCGGGAAGUUGAUUGUACCUGCAGAGGAAGCCCCGGCUAACUCUGUGCCAGCCGCCGCGGUAAG
rnacentral:rRNA from 1 species